rnacentral:rRNA from 1 species
UACAGAGGUCCCGAGCGUUAUUCGGAAUUACUGGGCGUAAAGCGCACGUAGGCGGCUUUGUAAGUUAGAGGUGAAAGCCUGGAGCUCAACUCCAGAAUUGCCUUUAAGACUGCAUCGCUUGAAUCCAGGAGAGGUGAGUGGAAUUCCGAGUGUAGAGGUGAAAUUCGUAGAUAUUCGGAAGAACACCAGUGGCGAAGGCGGCUCACUGGACUGGUAUUGACGCUGAGGUGCGAAAGCGUGGGGAGCAAACAGG